AUAGUUAACCUGACAGGGGAGACACCAUGAUCAUGAAGGUGGCUUUCCCAGGGUAAGGCUUAUCCAUUGCACUCUGGGUGUACUGACCCCUGCGAUUUCCCCAAAUGCAGGAAACUUGACUGCAUGACUUGUGCUAGUGGGGGACUACUUUUGCACUUUCCCCUA
ensembl:snRNA U1 U1 spliceosomal RNA